GUUACAAGACCUGACAGGGGGGGGGGGGAUAAGAAUUAUUUUUCGUACACCAAAAUUGGCGUUUUAAUUUUAAAGUCUUGUCAUGGCCACUGCCUCUUCAUUAGCAAAGUUUCUGCACUUUCCAAUUCUGCAGUUAUCGAACCUCAAACUCGCCCCUUACAAACUGCCACAGAAAACUUUUACAUCAUUUUAAAAUAGUCCCCCCCUACAAAAAAAAGCAUUUAGGAAAGUUGCAGCUCGGCUUUCCCCCUUUUCCUGGACAUAAGCCCAGAGUUGCCGAAUUCGAACUAACUACACUUUAAUGUAAUUCAUACAAUUUCCAUUUGUCUAACCGUCCAUUAAUCAUUCGCACGCUGCUGAACACGGCCAAAAGGCGGGGCAGAGGUGGCCAAAACGGGGUGGAUGAUGGUUGGAUUGACUCUCCGGACUUGGCCAAAUUUGAAGCUUUGUUUACGUGUGACAAUCGGGCGACAAGUUGGAAAUCAAAAGCAUCUCCACCGCCACCGAAAAGUUGGCCCGAAUUUUAUUCAUCUGGCCUGACAACUUUCUGGCAUUGGAAAGAAUCCAAUGCGGUUGGUAAAACUUAUUAGGCGCAGUCAAGCAUGGCCUGCAAAUUGGUACACCUUGACGCUUCACUGGCUCCGCAGAUUCGAGGAUACGAGGAUUCCGCCAAAGCUUUAAGGCCAAGACAAAAGGCGGCCAAAAGGACAGCCAGCGGCGGGUUGAGAUACUUGGGCAGAUACAGAUACUUAGCGGCGAUAAAGACAAACGCUUGAUUAUGAGAAGCCAACCCAUGGCUGCGGAAUUUAUUUGUGUUGUAUAUUUAUUUAUGAGCUUGUCCCUCUCGCCAAGCAGAAACAAAAGAAGCCAGUGCCCAGAACUCACAACCCAAAUCCCCGGCAGAAUCACUCAAGUGCGAACGGAAACGGGCGCCCAGAACUUCAGAACUUGGUCCUGCCAUCGGGCAGGAAAUCAGCGAUUAAGCAACCAACUAACCAGUAACCAGUGAGUCAGUCACCAGUUGUUACUUGAGGAGCACAGGGAGAAAUAUUGGAAAUAAAUAGAACUAGAAUGUGCAAGCUCUUCAAAUCCCUGCCCUCGGGGCCUCUUCGCGAAUGGAAGUGUGUAAUUUUUGGUAUUAAUUGCUCGGUCUCGCAAAACUUUCCGGCUUCCAGUUAGCCCCAUCAGUUGAAAUAAUAACAAUGCCAGAAGGAUCGAAAAUCGUGCGGAGGAGGAGGAGCAACUGGACACGCCCACCGACAAUUGGCAGGGCGGCUAUUUCAAUCUCCUCCCCGGACUGAACCCCUCUGAAAAGAAAGAGGGAGGAGGGAUCUUUAGGAGGUGGUUUCCGAAUGGAGGACUUAACAUAUUGACUAUGACCUUUUGUUGGCUGUUUGCCGUUUGCUGUUUGUUGUUUGUUAGGCGGCAGUUCGAAAUUUAUGCUCACAUGGCGCCUUCGAUAAGAUCGAGAACUCCGUGCUGAAAGUAAAUUUCUUCCCCUCAGCCAUUCAAGUCCCCACUUCCCUUUCGGCACCAGCAAGAGCAAGGACAUGUCGCUGAAAGCAUUAUCAAAUAUUAUGCAU